rnacentral:rRNA from 1 species
AGUGAACGCUGGCGGCAGGCUUAACACAUGCAAGCCGAGCGCCCCGCAAGGGGAGCGGCAGACGGGUGAGUAACGCGUGGGAACGUACCCUUUGCUACGGAAUAGCUCCGGGAAACUGGAAUUAAUACCGUAUGUGCCCUACGGGGGAAAGAUUUAUCGGCAAAGGAUCGGCCCGCGUUGGAUUAGCUAGUUGGUGGGGUAAUGGCCUACCAAGGCGACGAUCCAUAGCUGGUCUGAGAGGAUGAUCAGCCACAUUGGGACUGAGACACGGCCCAAACUCCUACGGGAGGCAGCAGUGGGGAAUAUUGGACAAUGGGCGCAAGCCUGAUCCAGCCAUGCCGCGUGAGUGAUGAAGGCCUUAGGGUUGUAAAGCUCUUUCACCGGAGAAGAUAAUGACGGUAUCCGGAGAAGAAGCCCCGGCUAACUUCGUGCCAGCCGCCGCCGUAACAC